GCAGAGUAGAAUUUUGUGCGUUAAGUGCCGUGUGAACAGGGAGUUGUCACGCGGACGAAAAACAGAAGUUUCUGUUACAGAGUUUUCUGUUUGCGGUACAGAGUUCGCAUCCCGCUGC
rnacentral:ncRNA from 1 species